UGGUCACUUAAUUGUGCCAUGUGUAUCUCACUGUUAAUUUAAGCUCCACUAAAACACAAUCUGUCUUUGUCAUCUUGGCAUCUGCAUUCCAUAAAUAUUUGUUAAAUGAAAGGAUGAAAAGCUGAAUGGAAUUAUUGAAAGAGGACUGAAUUUUAAUUGAUUGAAGUUCUAUUUUAAUUUUGUCAUUAACAACAGUUUUUAUGCCUGUCAAAUUCUAUUUUUCUUAUUUGCAAAGUAAUACUAGUAUUAAAAAUGGACACUAGUCCUGGUGGCGAAGGCCUGAAAUCCAAGCUAUUUUGGAAUGGGAGCCAAGAGAAUCACAUGUUCAGGACCAUCUUGGACAAUUUAGUGAAACCCUGUCUCAAGACAAAAAUGCUUUUAAAGAAGCUGAGGAAUGCUGAGACUAGAACUAGAAGUGAGUUGUAUGGAUAGCAAGGAGUAGAGAAAGAAGACUGUUGUCAGUACUUGUCGGAGUAUAGCCUGCGGUGCACUGAGAGUAAACCAGAUGGUUUGUGUGCAUGGAGCUGGCUCUCUAAAGUCUCUCACACUCGAGAUGCAUACAUCGCAGGAAUACUGUUUCUAAAGGUGCCGAGGCAUCGUUGUCUUUGAGUUUAAGAAUGUGCACUCACCUGUAAUUUGUGAAACUCUUCUGUUUUCAUUUUUUUAGUCCAAGCCUUAUGCCUUUGAUCGUGUGUUCCAGUCAAGCACAUCUCAAGAGCAAGUAUACAACGACUGUGCAAAAAAGAUUGUUAAAGGUAAAUAUGCGUAACUAGUCAAACUCAAUUUACUUACUGUCCUAGCAAUAAGUAAAAUUUGGUUUGUGAUCUUUCUGUUUUACACAACAUUGCUUUUUUAUUUGUUUGUUUGUUUGUUUGUUUUUGUUAAAGAUUUACUUGUUUAUAAUAUCUAAGUACACUGUAGCCGUGUUCGGAUGCACCAAAAGAGGUUUCUGGGAUUUGAACUUGGGAACUUUGGAAGAGCAAUCAGUGCUCUUAACCGUUGAGCCAUCUCUCCAACCGCUUUAUUUUUAAUGCCUGCUUUCACCUACAUUAAUUAGAAAGUUAAAGUAACAAAAAUCUAAAUAGAAUUAGUGAACAUUGUACUUUUCAGUUACUGUGAUUUCAUUAUAUAUUGUACCUAGUGGACACUGAUACAGGGAUUAUAUUACAAGCAUAUUUUUGAAAAGUGAUUUCAUGGGAGAAUUCCCAAGGUACUAUUGUAGAAAUGGAACGUAUGAGAAUGAAGUGACUAGAUAAAUUUUUAAAAAAUAGAAAAUAAGUCUUUUUUUUUUUUUUUUCUAUUCCAUUGUUCUUUCCUCAAAACCUUAUCUUAGAGUCAUUAGAGAAAUCCUGAUGGAACUUAUUAGGGAUUGCCAAGGAUUU
rnacentral:lncRNA from 1 species